AGUGAGAAACGGUUGAUUAUUCUUCUACUUCAAUAAAGUACAACGAUCCAGAAGACGCUGUACCUGCCGAGUAACGAAGUCAACCGCAGGCUGCCUGCCAGUCGGCGACGGAUCAGCUGCACGGGUCACCGCUGCACGGAAUGAACGAUGGCGAGUGGUGACGACCCGCCACCCGGACCGUCAAAGGGAAUGCGACCAUCGCUGUUCCAACGGCGACAGACGAACUUUGGGUUGCUCUAGAGGCGCAGGCGCUCGUCGAGUGUUACAUAGCCUUAUGUGCAGCUGUCUGGGUCAAUCGACCUCCUCUAAUUCGGCGUCAGCGCCCGUGCCGAGCUGCUGGAUGGGCCGGCCACUGGAGCAUGUCAGCCCAAUACCUCCACCGUAUCGGCCGCCGGGCGACCGCCGCCUGCCCCGGCUGCGCGACCGCCGCCUGCCCCGGCUGCGCGGACACUGGCUGUCCGGCCGCCCGGUGCCUGGUGUGCGAGGAGGAGGCGGACACCCCGCAACACGUCCUGCUGCGCUGCCCGUGCCUCUGCGGGGCCCGCCUCCUCGCCAUGGGCAACAUUUACGGACGCCCCACCGACUUGAGACGGGACGGCGUGGUGGCGGCCUUGGCCGCCGGCUUUCGGUCCUUCCAGAGCCGAACGACUACGCCCCGGUGACGGGGCCGAGGGGAAUACAACAACAACAGCUGCUGGAUGCAGGCGAUCAUUAGCUGCGAUAGCUUAUAUGUCUCCAAAAAAAUGGUGAAUGAACUUGGUGAAUAAUUAAGUUUAGAGGUUUGCGUGACACCGAGAUCGACUGUAGAAAUAGCCCUAAUUGAACAGUUACCUAUUCUUCGGUGUCGAGCCGUACGUGUUGCAGUCGUUUAUGACGGUGUACCGCCUAAGCAGUUUCUAAGAUGUUCUCAACGGGCUGCGUGCUUCCAGCUGUCUGAGUG